rnacentral:rRNA from 1 species
UACUAGAGUAGCACUCGCAUAUCAAUAAGCGGAGGAAAAGAAACUAACAAGGAUUCCCCUAGUAACGGCGAGUGAAGCGGGAAGAGCUCAAAUUUGAAAUCUUAAAGGGUUUCCCUUUACGAAUUGUAGUUUAAAGAAGUGUUUUCUGUUGAGGUUUUGGUAAAAGUUCUUUGGAAUAGGACAUCAUAGAGGGUGAGAAUCCCGUAUUUGACCUUUACUUUCAACUUUGUGAUACACUUUCAAAGAGUCGGAUUGUUUGGGGAUGCAGUCCAAAAUGGGUGGUAAAUUUCAUCUAAAGCUAAAUAUUGGCGAGAGACCGAUAGCGAACAAGUACCGUGAGGGAAAGAUGAAAAGAACUUUGAAAAGAGAGUUAAACAGUACGUGAAAUUGUCAAAAGGGAAGCGUUUGACACCAGUGUUGUUUUUCUGAAAAUCAAUUAAAGAACUGUUUAUGCUAAGCUGUUUAGACUUUAUCAGCUAACUGUUUAGUUUUGAGCUUUUCUUUAAUGCACUUUUCAGUUAACAAGUCAACAUCAAUUUCUUUUGCUGUAAAAAAGCUUGAGGAAGGUGGCCUGAGAUUCGUCUUAAGUGUUUAUAGCCUCUUGCCUAUGCAGUCGGAGAGAUUGAGGUCUGCAGCGUAGAUCCUUCGGGGCUAAAUGCAUUUGUGCUAAGUUAUAGCAUUUUAUAGACAACUUGUUGACUAUGAUUUGUCUUGUAGCUUACUCGCUUAUGUUAUUUUACCUACGCUUAGGAUGUUGAUAUCGCGCUCUCACUG